GACGAACGCUGGCGGCGUGCCUAAUACAUGCAAGUCGAACGCAGUGGGGACGGGUGAGUAACACGUGGGUAACCUCCCAUCAGAGGGGAUAACACUUGGAAACAGGUGCUAAACCGAUACUGAUGGAUGGCCCCGCGGUGCAUUAGCUAGUUGGUGAGGUAACGGCUCACCAAGGCCACGGUGCAUAGGCGACCGGAGAGGUUGAUCAGCCACACGGGGACUGAGACACGGCCCAGACUCCUACGUGAGGCAGCAGUAGGGAAGCUGCGGCAAUGGACGAAAGUCUGACCGAGCAACGCCGCGUAAGUGAAGAAGGUUUUCGGAUCGUAAAACGCUGUUGGUAGAGAAGCGGUAUCUAACCAGAAAGCCACGGCUAACUACGUGCCAGCAGCCGCGGUAAUUC
rnacentral:rRNA from 1 species